GGGGGCGGGAUGAUUUGUAUCAGUUCUGUAGUAAGCAGGGAAUGGUGGCUACCCCAAGCUGCAAAGAACUUCAGCUCCAAAGUGGUUAUUCCAUAAAGAGAGGCCAGGCCACUGCAGGGCCUGAGAGAGAGCAUGGCCAGACCCAACAGAUGGAAUACAGGGAGGACAACUGAGACUUGACUGAAGAAGAUCCAUUUGGAAUUCAUAAACGGGACAUUGGCUGAGAGGACACAUUCAUCUGGAGCUCCAGAGAAGGCUAAAGUGAAGCCCUCUUUUUUCCUGCACAUGUCCCAACAGGUUGUGUGCCCAAGGAAUCUACAGGCCUCCUAAAGUCCUUUCCAUUGUCACUACAGGGCUGACUGUAAUCUGCACCUGUAAUUCCAGCAACUGUAGCAGUACAUGCUGAAGAAACAGUGUGAAGGUAACACGCUCCCCUUUUAAACCAGCUUUGAGGUUGUUAGCCUGAGGAAUCUUGGACUGUCUGAAAUACUGGGAAGGAGCACCCAAAGAUCCAGCCUCUUUCCAGAAACUGUUCCAUUGGGAAUGAUCAUUUUUCACAGGAGACGUUCUUGAUCGUCCUUCUUGACAGUCUAAUGAUCUUAGUGUUUUCCCUAUGAGAAGCCUUUCUAGUGUUUUCUCCAAAGCAUGGCUCUCUCCCCCAGUCCAGUUGGCAUGGGAAUUCAGUGCACCAUUACCAUGUUUCAGAGCCCAAGCACAGAGCCCAGACCUAGUUUUUUUUUUUUUUUUUUUUACAAUUUUAUUGAGGUAUAACCGACAUAUAAUAAACUUCACAUAUUUAAACUAUACAGUUUGAUGAUUUUUAGCCUCUGUAUACCUCCCUGCAACCAUCACAUGGUGAGAUAACGAACAUAUCAUCCCCAAAGGUUUCCUCAUGGGCCUUAGCAAUCCCUCCCUUCCAACCCUCUGAAUAUUUAACAUACUGUUUCAAAGUUGAAGACAAAAAGUGGGAAAGUUACUCCAGUCAUUCAACAAGUCUGGCAUAAUCCCAGCUCCAAAACAAGGUAAGGAAAUUAUGACAAUUAUAGACUGACUUUAUUUCUGGACCUAGAUGAGAAAGUCCUUGAUGAAAUACUGGUUAAUUGAAUUAAUCAGUUAUGGAAAAAAUUACAAUUGCACAAUUACAGUUGCACCCUGUAGACUCCCCUUUUUAUUCUCCAAUGUAUUGUAUUUUUGCCCACUAAAUCUUUGUUCAUUUUUCCCCCACUUUUUCCUCCAAUUUCCUCACAGUUUUCGCUUUAGUUGAUACUCUCAUUUUAUCCUGACAUUAGAAAACCAGCUGGCCGUUUUCUCAUAAGCUCUUGCAGAGGAAAUGUGUCCUAGAUGAGGAAAAGAUGCUAGAAGGUGGCAAUCACCCACAUUUCAAAAUGAAAGGAGCAAAGCAAUGAAAGAAGUUGUAUUCAUUUGCAAUUUCCUUAGGCCCUUCUAUUGUUUGUCAAUC